rnacentral:rRNA from 1 species
UACGAAGGGGGCUAGCGUUGCUCGGAAUUACUGGGCGUAAAGGGCGCGUAGGCGGCCUUCUAAGUCGAACGUGAAAUCCCCGGGCUCAACCCGGGAACUGCGUCCGAUACUGGAAGGCUUGAAUCCGGGAGAGGGAUGCGGAAUUCCUGGUGUAGCGGUGAAAUGCGCAGAUAUCAGGAAGAACACCCGUGGCGAAGGCGGCUCUCUGGGACGGUACUGACGCUGAGACGCGAAAGCGUGGGGAGCGAACAGG